ensembl:lncRNA
UUGGGGACACAUUGGGGACACACUGGGGCCAUGUUGGGGACACAUUGUGGCCAUGUUGGGGACACAAUGGGGACAUGUUGGGGACACAAUGGGGACAUGUUGGGGACAUGUUGGGGACGCAAUGGGGACACAUUGGGGCCAUGUUGGGGACACAUUGGGGCCAUGUUGGGGACACAAUGGGGACAUGUUGGGGACACGUUGGGGACACAGUGCGGACACAAUGGGGACACGUUGUGGCCAUGUUGGGGACACAAUGGGGACACGUUGGGGACCCAUUGGGGACACAAUGGGGACACACUGGGGCCAUGUUGGGGACAUGUUGGGGACCCAUUGGGGACACGUUGGGGCCGUGAUGGGGACGCAAUGGGGCCACACUGUGGGCACAUUGGGGCCACGUUGGGGACCCAUUGGGGAUACACUGGGGCCAUGUUGGGGACACGUUGGGGACACAAUGGGGCCAUAUUGUGGCCAUGUUGGGGACCCAUUGGGGACACAUUGUGGCCAUGUUGGGGACACAGUGGGGACACACUGGGGUCAUGUUGGGGACACACUGGGGCCAUGUUGGGGACACAAUAGGGAUACACUGGGGCCAUGUUGGGGACACAAUGGGGCCAUGUUGUGGCCAUGUUGGGGACACAUUGUGGCCAUGUUGGGGACACAUUGGGGACAUACUGGGGCCAUGUUGGGGAUACAAUGGGGCCAUGUUGUGGCCAUGUUGGGGACCCAUUGGGGACACAAUGGGGCCAUGUUGGGGACCCAUUGGGGACACGUUGUGGCCAUGUUGGGGACACAAUGGGGACACACUGGGGCCAUGUUGGGGACACACUGGGGACCCAUUGGGGACACAAUGGGGAUACACUGGGGCCAUGUUGGGGACACAAUGGGGACACGUUGUGGCCAUGUUGGGGACACACUGGGGCCAUGUUGGGGACACAUUGGGGACAUGUUGUGGCCAUGUUGGGGACACACUGGGGCCAUGUUGGGGNGUGUGGGGCGAGGGGCAGUGCCGUGGGGGGUGGGGGGCAGUGCGCGCUCACACUUGUAGCACGCUCUCGUGCCACGCACACUCGUAUUGCACGCACACACUCUUGUUACACACACACCCUUUGCACGCUCUCGUGUUGCACGCCCUGUGUCCCGGCAGACUCAGCUGUGGCUCGCCUGUACGAGCUCUCAUGCCGCACACACACACCUUGCACACACACACUCUUGUUACACACACACACUUUGCACACACACCUUGCACACACUCUUGUUGCACACACACACACACACCCUUUGCACGCUCUCGUGUCACACGCCUUGCACGCCCCGUGUCCCGGCAGACUCGGCGCUGGCCCGUCUGUACGAACUCUCAUGCCGCAAACACACACCUUGCACACACACACUCUUGUUACACACACACACUUUGCACACCCACUCUUUUUGCACGCUCUCGUGUCACACUCCCCGUGUCCCGGCAGACUUGGCGCUGGCCCGCCUUUACGAGCUCUCAUGCCGCACACACACACCUUGCACACACACACUCUUGUUACACACACACACCUUGCACACCCACUCUUUUUGCACGCCCUCGUUUUGCACGCCCUCGUGUCACACGCUCUCGUGUCACACGCCUUGCACGCCCCGUGUCCCGGCAGACUCAGCCCUGGCUCGCCUGUACAAGCUCUCAUGCCGCACACACACACCUUACACACACAUACCUUGCACACUCACUCUUUUUGCACGCUCUCGUGUCACACGCCUUGCACGCCCUCAUGUCCCGGCAGACUCGGCGCUGGCCCGCCUGUACGAGCUCUCAUGCCGCACCCUCACACCUUGCACACACACACACCUUGCACACACAUACUUUGCACGCCCUCGUGUUGCACGCCCUCGUGUCGCACGCUCUCGUGUCACACGCCUUGCAUGCCCCGUGUCCCGGCAGACUCAGCCCUGGCUCGCCUGUACAAGCUCUCAUGCCGCACACCUUGCACGUUCCACACGUGCACACACACUCUUGUUGCACACACACACACACCCUUUGCACGCUCUCGUGUCACACGCCUUGCACGCCCUCAUGUCCCAGCAGACUCGGCGCUGGCCCGCCUGUACGAGCUCUCAUGCUGCACCCUCACACCUUGCACACACACACUUUGCACGCCCUCGUGUUGCACGCUCUCGUGUCACACGCCUUGCACGCCCUCGUGUCCCGGCAGACUCGGCGCUGGCCCGCCUGUACGCGCUCUCAUGCCGCACACACACACCUUGCACAC